rnacentral:rRNA from 1 species
AGAUUGAACGCUGGCGGCAUGCCUUACACAUGCAAGUCGAACGGCAGCACGGGAGCAGUCCUGGUGGCGAGUGGCGAACGGGUGAGUAAUACAUCGGAACGUGCCCAGUUGUGGGGGAUAGCCCGGCGAAAGCCGGAUUAAUACCGCAUACGACCUACGGGUGAAAGCGGGGGAUCGCAAGACCUCGCGCUAUUGGAGCGGCCGAUGUCGGAUUAGCUUGUUGGUAGGGUAAAAGCCUACCAAGGCUACGAUCCGUAGCUGGUCUGAGAGGACGACAGCCACGACUAGGACCUAGAGACACGGCCCGACGACUCCGUACGGGAGGCAGCGAGUGGGAAUAGUUGGACAAGUGGGCGCAAGCCUGAUCCAGCAAUGCCGCGUGUGUAGAAGAAGGCCGUUCGGGUUAGUAAA